CAGAAGGGAGCUUGCUCCCGGAUGUUAGCGGCGGACGGGUGAGUAACACGUGGGUAACCUGCCUGUAAGACUGGGAUAACUCCGGGAAACCGGAGCUAAUACCGGAUAGUUCCUUGAACCGCAUGGUUCAAGGAUGAAAGACGGUUUCGGCUGUCACUUACAGAUGGACCCGCGGCGCAUUAGCUAGUUGGUGGGGUAAUGGCUCACCAAGGCGACGAUGCGUAGCCGACCUGAGAGGGUGAUCGGCCACACUGGGACUGAGACACGGCCCAGACUCCUACGGGAGGCAGCAGUAGGGAAUCUUCCGCAAUGGACGAAAGUCUGACGGAGCAACGCCGCGUGAGUGAUGAAGGUUUUCGGAUCGUAAAGCUCUGUUGUUAGGGAAGAACAAGUGCGAGAGUAACUGCUCGCACCUUGACGGUACCUAACCAGAAAGCCACGGCUAACUACGUGCCAGCAGCCGCGGUAAUACGUAGGUGGCAAGCGUUGUCCGGAAUUAUUGGGCGUAAAGGGCUCGCAGGCGGUUUCUUAAGUCUGAUGUGAAAGCCCCCGGCUCAACCGGGGAGGGUCAUUGGAAACUGGGAAACUUGAGUGCAGAAGAGGAGAGUGGAAUUCCACGUGUAGCGGUGAAAUGCGUAGAGAUGUGGAGGAACACCAGUGGCGAAGGCGACUCUCUGGUCUGUAACUGACGCUGAGGAGCGAAAGCGUGGGGAGCGAACAGGAUUAGAUACCCUGGUAGUCCACGCCGUAAACGAUGAGUGCUAAGUGUUAGGGGGUUUCCGCCCCUUAGUGCUGCAGCUAACGCAUUAAGCAC
rnacentral:rRNA from 1 species